AUGCUGGUGACAUAUGUGGGUGUUUCACAGGUGGGAAGAGAAGGUUCCAGAAGAGCGUGGGCCCCAAGUGACCUGAUUUGGUUGUACAUGUUAAAAAUAAGAAGGCGAUCUCAGAGGGCCAAGAGGAAGAAAGAGCGUGGGCCCAACUAGGUCAGGCAGACGGAGAUGGGACAAGGCCAGGCGUUCACAAGUGGACCUCCAAGGGAGGGUCCAUGGAGGCCGAGGUUCCCGUCUGGGGUCCAGGCUC